rnacentral:rRNA from 1 species
GACGAACGCUGGCGGCGUGCCUAAUACAUGCAAGUCGAGCGGACCAAUAGAAAAGCUUGCUUUUCUUGAGGUUAGCGGCGGACGGGUGAGUAACACGUGGGCAACCUACCUGUAAGACUGGGAUAACUUACGGAAACGUGAGCUAAUACCGGAUAGUUUCACUUCUCGCAUGAGAAGUGAAGGAAAGAUGGCUUUUAGCUAUCACUUACAGAUGGGCCCGCGGCGCAUUAGCUAGUUGGUGGGUAAAGGCCUACCAAGGCAACGAUGCGUAGCCGACCUGAGAGGGUGAUCGGCCACACUGGGACUGAGACACGGCCCAGACUCCUACGGGAGGCUG